AUGGAGACCAUGAGUCAUCUCGCUCACAGUUUUGUGUCAAGAGUCAGAAGAAUAAAGUCUGACACAUGCCGCUAUAGGAAAUCGUCACGUGUGUGCAGGCAAAAGCUUGGAAGGGAACUUCACGUGCUUCUUGCUUUCGUGUCUAAGAAACUAAGGCAACCAGGACUCGCCGGAAAAUCAGCAAGUCGUCUGCAAGCACAGCACAGUCCCAAAGUCACAAGGCCCAAAAUUGUCACUCUGUCACGGCACAGGGCGAUAGAUGGCUGAGCUCCACCAGACACCGGGUCAGCAGUAGUCGUUAGAGACUUCCCUAUCACCUUCCAACUAAGCACUGCUUUCUCGCGUGGAGGCUGGCUGUGUGUCUGAGUGCUGUGCGGGGGCUCGCCUGCAGGGGGCGCCCUAGCUCACACAUGAGGAAACACCUCAGCAAAGUCAGCAGCAGCGCCGGGAUCACCACCUGGAAUCACAGUCUUCUUAUGUUCCGCCUACUGCAACGUGCCUUCCCCUUGGGCGCAGUAGAUGUGAAACCAUAGGAGCAAGUUUUUAGUCACACUUUAAAUUGAUAUCCCCAAGACGGAGCCACAACUUUUUUUUCAAGAUCCCCGAUACAAAGCAUGUCUUAGGGUGCAUCUUUAUGCCUGAACCUCUUACAGUUUGUGAGUCCAUUCACUACCCCUUACAGUAGUGUCUCUCAACUUCCCUAAUCCUCUGAGCCCUUUAAUUCAGUUCCUUGUGUUGUGGUGAGCCCCCAACCAUAAGAGCUAUUAAAGUAAUUCUCUCCAAGCCCAAAGUUGCUCACUUGUAAGGGAAGUGGUCCCGGUACCUGGUCACAUCAGGGGAUGAUUCUUCAUGGAUGUCUCAAGUUCCUGUGUGUGAGGACAGCAGAGGCCGGACUGCCUCUGCCUGCCCUAUGUGGUAAAUAAAUAGCCUUGGGAAUAGUGGCUGUGUCUCCCU
rnacentral:lncRNA from 1 species